CCUACGGGAGGCAGCAGUAGGGAAUUUUCGUCAAUGGGCGCAAGCCUGAACGAGCAAUGCCGCGUGAACGAGGAAGGUCUUCGGAUCGUAAAGUUCUGUUGAAGGGGAAAAAGAGCGGAGAGAGGAAAUGCUUUCUGAUUGAUAUUACCCUUCGAGGAAGUCACGGCUAACUACGUGCCAGCAGCCGCGGUAAUACGUAGGUGGCGAGCGUUAUCCGGAAUGAUUGGGCGUAAAGGGUGCGUAGGCGGCCUGCUAAGUCUGGAGUGAAAGGUACCGGCUCAACCGGUACAGGCUCUGGAAACUGGCGGGCUAGAGAGCAGGAGAGGGCGGUGGAACUCCAUGUGUAGCGGUAAAAUGCGUAGAUAUAUGGAAGAACACCAGUGGCGAAGGCGGCCGCCUGGCCUGUUACUGACGCUGAGGCACGAAAGCGUGGGGAGCAAAUAGGAUUAGAUACCCCAGUAGUC
rnacentral:rRNA from 1 species